GUUGAACGCUGGCGGCAUGCCUUACACAUGCAAGUCGAACGGCAGCACGGGUGCUUGCCCUUGGUGGUGAGAGGCGCACGCGUGUGUGUUACAUGGGGAUAAGUUCUGUAGUGGGGGAUAGCCAGGUGAAAACAGGGUUACUACCGCAUACGAAUUACGUAUGCCAGCUGGGGAACUACGGGACUACCGCUUUGGGGUUGGUCGAUGGCUGAUUAGCUAGUUGGUGGGGUAAAGGCCUACCAAGGCGACGACCAGUAGCUGGUCUGAGAGGACGACCAGCCACACUGGGACUGAGACACGGCCCAGACUCCUACGGGAGGCAGCAGUGGGGAAUUUUGGACAAUGGGCGAAAGCCUGAUCCAGCAAUGCCGCGUGCGUGAAGAAGGCCUUCGGGUUGUAAAGCACUGUUAUCCGGAAAGAAAACCUGUGCCCUAAUACGGUCGGGGGAUGACGGUACCGGAAGAAUAAGCACCGGCUAACUACGUG
rnacentral:rRNA from 1 species